rnacentral:rRNA from 1 species
UAUGUAGGGGGCAAGCGUUGUCCGGAAUCAUUGGGCGUAAAGCGAGCGUAGGCGGCCCGAUAAGUCUGCUGUGAAAGUCAACGGCUCAACCGUUGAAAGCCGGUGGAUACUGUCGGGCUAGAGUUCGGAAGAGGCAAGUGGAAUUCCUGGUGUAGCGGUGGAAUGCGCAGAUAUCAGGAGGAACACCCAUAGCGAAGGCAGCUUGCUGGGACGAUACUGACGCUAAGGCUCGAAAGCGUGGGGAGCGAACAGG